GUGCUUGCUUUGGCAGCACAUAUACUAAAAUUGGAAUGAUUCAGAGAAGAUUAGCAUGGCCUCUGUGCACGAGGAUGACACACAAAUUUGUGAAGCAUUCCAUAUUUUU